GGAAGACUGGUUUGCUGAUCAGUAUCAGUUUGCAUUCCUCGGGCUUGGACUUGUGUUCUUUGCAUACUUUAGUGAUCCUCAAAUUUUAGACGAACUGGUUGUUAUCAAACACCUCUAGAAGUUCAUGUAGGAUCUUUGGGAUUGCCUCUGGUGGAGGAAGGACGCCCUCAAGCAUGGGGUAUAUACUAAAGCUACAUGUAAUUGCAGCCAUCGUUGUAAUAGUGAAUGGAGUUCAGACAGUCAGUGUAUCAGACACACCUGCAUGUCAAGAAGAUUCUACUGGAGUGAACUACAGGGGAAACCUAUCUCAGACAAUCAACGGUCAUAAUUGUCAAGCAUGGACCUCUCAGGAUCCCCACCAACACGUUUAUACUCCAGCUGACUUUCCUAACGCGGGACUAGACGACAACUAUUGCAGGAGCCCAGAUAAUGAUGACACUGCUUGGUGUUACACCACCAAUCAUGGGAUAAUAUGGGAGUAUUGUGAUGUAGGUUUCCUCGACCCAAGAUGCAAAGCAUUACAUGACGUAAAUGACGUCUGUCUUCAUAUAACCACGAUGUCAUGUCCUUUGAUCACCUUGGAGAGCGGUGAGACUGUACAAUUGAUCCCAAAACCCAUGCAAUCCGAUCUAGACU